UACGGAGGAUGCAAGCGUUAUCCGGAAUGAUUGGGCGUAAAGCGUCCGCAGGUGGCUAUGUAAGUCUGCUGUUAAAGAGUCUAGCUCAACUAGAUAAGAGCAGUGGAAACUACAAGGCUAGAGUACGUUCGGGGCAGAGGGAAUUCCUGGUGUAGCGGUGAAAUGCGUAGAUAUCCGGAGGAACACCAGUGGCGAAAGCGGCCACCUGGACUGCACCUGACGCUGACACGCGAAAGCUAGGGGAGCGAACGGG
rnacentral:rRNA from 1 species